rnacentral:rRNA from 1 species
CUACCUGCCCACUGAUUUAUUAAAGGGCCGCGGUAUAUUGACUGUGCAAAGGUAGCAUAAUCAUUUGUCUUUUAAUUGAAGGCUGGAAUGAAUGGUUGAAUGAAGUAUUAACUGUCUCAUUUUAAUAAAAAUAAAAAUUUAAUUUUUUAGUCAAAAAGCUGAAAUAAAUUUAGAGGACGAGAAGACCCUAUAGAUCUUUAUAAUUAAAUUUAUUAAAUAAUUUUAGAUAAAUAAAAACAUUAAUAAAUUUAAUUAUUUUGUUGGGGUGACAGGAAAAUUUAAUAAACUAUUUUUAUAUAAAACCAAUAAUUUUUGAAUAAUUGAUCCAAUUUUAUUGAUUAAAAGUUUAAGUUACCUUAGGGAUAACAGCGUAAUUUUUUUAGAGAGUUCUUAUCGAUAAAAAAGAUUGCGACCUCGAUGUUGAAUUAAAGAU